UACAGAGGGUGCGAGCGUUGUUCGGAAUUAUUGGGCGUAAAGGGCGCGUAGGCGGUACGGUAAGUCACCUGUGAAAUCUCCUGGCUCAACUGGGAGCUUGCAGGCGAAACUGCCGUGCUGGAGUGUGGGAGAGGUGCGUGGAAUUCCUGGUGUAGCGGUGAAAUGCGUAGAUAUCAGGAGGAACACCUGUGGCGAAAGCGGCGCACUGGACCACAACUGACGCUGAGGCGCGAAAGCUAGGGGAGCAAACAGG
rnacentral:rRNA from 1 species